AUUGAACGCUGGCGGCAGGCCUAACACAUGCAAGUCGAGCGGAUGAAGGGAGCUUGCUCCUGGAUUCAGCGGCGGACGGGUGAGUAAUGCCUAGGAAUCUGCCUGGUAGUUGGGGAUAACGUCCGGAAACGGGCGCUAAUACCGCAUACGUCCUGAGGGUGAAAGUGGGGGAUCUUCGGACCUCACGCUAUUAGAUGAGCCUAGGUCGGAUUAGCUAGUUGGUGGGGUAACGGCCUACCAAGGCGACGAUCCGUAACUGGUCUGAGAGGAUGAUCAGUCACACUGGAACUGAGACACGGUCCAGACUCCUACGGGAGGCAGCAGUGGGGAAUAUUGGACAAUGGGCGAAAGCCUGAUCCAGCCAUGCCGCGUGUGUGAAGAAGGUCUUCGGAUUGUAAAGCACUUUUAGUUGGGAGGAAGAGCAGUAAGUUAAUACCUGGCUGUUUUGACGUUACCAACAGAAUAAGCACCGGCUAACUUCGUG
rnacentral:rRNA from 1 species